rnacentral:lncRNA from 1 species
CUGACAUCCCCUCAGCCUGGAGGGCGCCCUCCUGGUCCCCUCGUAUCUGACAUCCCCUCAGCCUGGAGGGCGCCCUCCUGGUCCCCUCCUGUCUGACAUCCCCUCAGCCUGGAGGGCGCCCUCCUGGUCCCCUCCUGUCUGACAUCCCCUCAGCCUGGAGGGCGCCCUCCUGGUCCCCUCCUGUCUGACAUCCCCUCAGCCUGGAGGGCGCCCUCCUGGUCCCCUCCUGUCUGACAUCCCCUCAGCCUGGAGGGUGCCCUCCUGGUCCCCUCCUGUUUGACAUCCCCAGAGUUACUCCUUGGGUCCUUUGAGAGAUGAGACACCAGCUGCACCCAGCAAGCCCUGUCCCCACCCCCAGCUAAUCAAGGCAUUACCCCGGAGGCCGGGCGCAGUGGCUCACGCCUGUAAUCCCAACACUUUGGGAGGCCAAGCCUGUGCAAUUCUCGUCAACACAGAACACCUGCCUGCCCACCCCCGGUGCUGAAGACCGACCAGUCAAGGAGGUGUUGGUGGGAGUGUUGUGUUCACCAUGUGGAGAUCAGGCGGCGAUUACCGCAUCUUCUUUGCUGACUUUGGUAACCGGGUGUCCAGGGAGGAGCGAUCGGGAGUGGCCAAGCAGUUGCCUGGACUCAGCUUCUGACUCUGCAGCUGGGAGUCAGAUGCAGGCCCAAGGGUCCAGGGGAGUUGUUCAGCGCCUGGAAUCGCCAUGCAUUGCGCGGUGGACCGCACGACGCUCCUGCUCUGUUCUCCCAGGCACAGACAGGCACUUGGAAGGCAGCUUUGCUCCUCUGGCCACCCGGAAACCUCCCAGCAGUUCAGAUGGGACAAACUGGGGGCCUGUCAGAACAGCCACUUGUGCCGGGAAGGCCAGGCCCCGGCCUGCUCCGAUGAACGUCAGGACGGUGGCUGCAGCAGGGAACCAGGGCUGGCCUUGGAUCUGUCCAGUAGGGUCACUGACUGGGCAGGGCUUGCUGCAUAGAGGAUGGCUGCAUUUUGUGCUCAGAGUUGGUUGAAAUGGCUACGAAGUGUGGAGAAUAACCACUGAAUCCCAAAAAGUCACUGCGCUUGAUCUGAUCCAAGUAACAGUGACUGCAGUUAGGGUCGAGAGCUUCUCCGAAGCAGCGGUCAUGCAGGCUUUUGUGUGGCUGACGCUUCCCUUUUUCACAACAGUAAAAAGCUAUCAAUGGGAAAUUGUGGACUUUUCCCACCAGGGACUCAAUGGGGACUCAAUGUGCAAUAUUCAGUCAACAUAAAACUCUUUAAGAACUCC